UUAAACAAAUUUUGUAUUUCUACAUAUUAAAAUAUUUAAAUUAAUUAAAUUCUUCAAGCUUUGAAUCUGAUCAAGCGAGGCUUAGUAAAGCU